ACAGAUGGACCUCACAGUCUCGCAACUAACAUGGGAACCAGUAAUCUCAUGCCAGAGGAAGCACUCCUGAGGCAGAGGAGAUUUCAGGAGAGAACAGGUUGAACAUUAAUAAGGAGGAGCUUUGGCACUGGUCCAAGAAACAGGAUAAGCUAAAUCUCUGCAUCUAUUCUGGACACCAGAAUGGCGCGGGGACCAUUUAGAGGUGAGAUGGGCAGAUGAGGAGCUGAAGUUUCAGAGAGGUUAAGCAAUUUGCCUAGGUUCACACAGCAAAGAUGAUGAAACUUACAACCACAAGCAAUCCCCAGAAGCAGCCCUUUCACAGAGAGGAAGCUGAGGCUUAGAGGGUGUCAAUGGAUGAUCCAGUGCUGCAGAGCCAGAAGGGCCACCAUAAGAAUGAAAUGGAGGCAGCAUACAUUGGUAAUGGAAAGAGCAUGGGAGUUUGGAAGUCAAAAGACAUGGAUGUUUUCUGACCUUGAUAAGGACUCUGAAAAUGAUCCUUACAAGUAAACAGAAGAGACCACAAAUAACCAGUGACAGGUAAUGUGAUGAGACAUGGGAUCAAAGGACUGCGAUUGACUGCUUACCAGUUGGGUGACUUUGAGUGAGUGAUUCCAGCUCUCAUGCGCCCUGCAAAACUUACUAUUGUAUUUAUGAUGGGCACAAUAUGCACUACGUCACACACUGUGCCCUUCAGGAAAACCUGCUAGACAAAUUCCUCUAGGUUUCAGUGUCUAGGAUUCCUGAAAAUUUCCUGAAUGACAGUUCAAAAAAGUCUAACAAGCAGUUGAAAUCUGGUUGCUUCUGUGGUUUUCUUUUCUACCACGGUAGGCAAGGAAUCUCAGGGUGAAAUCUGCAGCCCACUGUGAACAAGGGCAUGGCACCUCAUGGUAUCCACUGGGUAUCCAAACUCUCAGCUAGCUUUUUCAUACUUAGAGGUGAACUUUCCACUAGUUUCUUCUUAUUUUGCAUUUACCCCAAUUUCCUCAUUUGUUUUUAAACCUUAAGUUCGGCACACACAUCUUUAAGAUAUCUUAAAACCUUUGUGAAAUGAAGUAGAUGGCAAAUAAGUACAUUAAAUUAUUUUAAAAAUAGUUUGUCUCACUCUCAAGUUUCACAGGCAUACAACGGGAAUAGAGUAAUAGUAUCCUUCACAAUGUUGCUGGAAGAUGAAGUGACUGUGCGUGUAAGCGGCACUUUGUUGAGGGUAGAAUGCUAUGGGAGUAUUUGUGGUCGUAGUGUUUAAUCUCUCUUUGCUUCCCCCUUUCUUGUGUUCUCAGCUCAGGGAGGGAAAGUCAUUGAGCUUGUUAGGCAUCAAAGCUCUGUUCCUGCCAGGCAGCAAUAUGGGAAAAGAAAGGAACCAACCACAGAAAGUGAAGACUCGCCAUGUCUGCUCGGCAGCAGCCCUGCUGAUGGCCCCUUACCAAGCUGUGAUAGGGCACAGAGCCACCACAACACAUGGGCUGGGGGACCGGAAGCCAGGUGACUGAGGCGGAACACCAGGUGGGACCACUCGGGCCAAGAAUUCCUGCCUAAAUGUUCCUAUGAUGCUUCUCCCAGCUUGCAGGUGGACAUCCUAGCCAGCAACGAUCUCAUGUCUCAUUAGAGUGCAAGGGGGAGGAGGGAAAUCUGUGCAUGUUAAGUGUCCAGCCUUCCAUUGAGUUUGCAUGAACAUGGGUGAGAAUGUCACAAAUGUAUUGGCCAAAGGCAAUGGCUCAGGGGCAAUGUGAGGUGUGUUGCCAAUGGCCCCCAAAUACUCAGCAUUUCAGAGUGAGUGACAUCCCAGCAAGACAACAGAUGACACUCAUUGCUUUUGAGGCAUAUGUGACAAAUAUUGAAAGGCUUUCUAAGGUCAGAGGCGAAGGAAUGAAGAUAGGAGGGAAGAGGAUGAAAAGAAGGGAUGGAGAGAAAGAAUGAAGUAGAUGGAAAGAUCAGUAGAAACACCAAUCAAGACUGGCAAUGAGUACUCCAGUAAUCUUUUUCUAUCCACCUGUAGCUUGAAUCUUUUCAGGACGAAACAGGUUCUACAUAUUUUUCCUUCCAAUGCAGAGGAAGCCUGUUGUUUAACAAUGUUUUAAUUGGCCAAGGGUAAAUGCAACUCAAAGAAAGACUGCAGUGGACUUAAAAGAAGUAUCACUGUUUAUCAGCAGGAACCAACAUUUAUGGAACAGUCAUUAUGCAUCCAUUAUGAAAAACCACUGGACACUUUACCCAUUAUCUCAUAGGUACAAUCAUCUCUUUUAAUGGAUGGAGAGGUUAAACACAGUAGGCUUUAAAACC
rnacentral:antisense_RNA from 1 species